GAUGAACGCUGGCGGCGUGCCUAAUACAUGCAAGUCGAGCGAAUGGAUUAAGAGCUUGCUCUUAUGAAGUUAGCGGCGGACGGGUGAGUAACACGUGGGUAACCUGCCCAUAAGACUGGGAUAACUCCGGGAAACCGGGGCUAAUACCGGAUAACAUUUUGAACCGCAUGGUUCGAAAUUGAAAGGCGGCUUCGGCUGUCACUUAUGGAUGGACCCGCGUCGCAUUAGCUAGUUGGUGAGGUAACGGCUAACCAAGGCAACGAUGCGUAGCCGACCUGAGGGGGUGAUCGGCCACACUGGGACUGGGACACGGCCCAGACUCCUACGGGAGGCAGCAGUAGGGAAUCUUCCGCAAUGGACGAAAGUCUGACGGAGCAACGCCGCGUGAGUGAUGAAGGCUUUCGGGUCGUAAAACUCUGUUGUUAGGGAAGAACAAGUGCUAGUUGAAUAAGCUGGCACCUUGACGGUACCUAACCAGAAAGCCACGGCUAACUACGUGCCAGCAGCCGCCGUAA
rnacentral:rRNA from 1 species